GCCUGGGUGGCUUAGUUGGUUAAGCAUCUGACUCUUGGUUUUGGCUCAGGUCAUGAUCUCAUGGUUCUCAGGUUUGAGCCCUGCAUCAGGCU
rnacentral:tRNA from 1 species